rnacentral:rRNA from 1 species
AUUGAACGCUGGCGGCAGGCCUAACACAUGCAAGUCGAGCGGUUGAGGGGAGCUUGCUCCCUGAUUCAGCGGCGGACGGGUGAGUAAUGCCUAGGAAUCUGCCUAUUAGUGGGGGACAACGUUUCGAAAGGAACGCUAAUACCGCACACGUCCUACGGGAGAAAGCAGGGGACCUUCGGGCCUUGCGCUAAUAGAUGAGCCUAGGUCGGAUUAGCUUGUUGGUGAGGUAAUGGCUCACCAAGGCGACGAUCCGUAACUGGUCUGAGAGGAUGUUCAGUCACACUGGAACUGAGACACGGUCCAGACUCCUACGGGAGGCAGCAGUGGGGAAUAUUGGACAAUGGGCGAAAGCCUGAUCCAGCCAUGCCGCGUGUGUGAAGAAGGUCUUCGGAUUGUAAAGCACUUUAAGUUGGGAGGAAGGGUUGUAGAUUAAUACUCUGCAAUUUUGACGUUACCGACAGAAUAAGCACCGGCUAACUCUGUGCCAGCCGCCGCCGUAA